UACAGCUUCAGUACUUCCCACUACUAGCCAAGGUUCUAGUGAGCAGCCGCUGCUCUGCUUGCCUCCGGCACCCGCAAGCUGCUCGUAGUUGGCACCUAAACCAAACUGCACGGCUCUCGGAACCACCUUCAAGAUGUGCGCCUUACCAGCUUAUGGGGAUGGCUGAGCGUGACAUGCUCCCCGAGUACUUCGCCAAGAGUUCUAAAUCCUGUUCCAGUUUGACCUCUCUUUAAUUUUUAUUUUGACAUUAUGGCGUGUUCUCCAGCCACGACACAUUGAUGGAGGCAUGCGCCACAGCCUUGGACCUGCAAGUAUUUACAAAAUAAUGAUUAUGGUGCUUUGCAACCUAAUGGUACUUCCAAAUAUGCAUCAAAACAAUGUCAGCGUGGGAGUUUUCUUUCAUUUUUUGUUGUAAAAAGUUCUCUUUGAUAUGACAGGCUGAUGUUUUUUCUGCACUUCCUACUUAUUUUUUAUCAAUAAUGUCACUAUGUAUUUUCCCAAGAGUUCACUCUUCAAACAUCAACGGUUCACUGUUCACUGUUUA